rnacentral:rRNA from 1 species
CGCCUGUUUAUCAAAAACAUUGUUUUUUGUUAUGAUUUAAAAAAUAGGGCCUGCUCACUGAGUAAUUAAAGAGCUGCAAUAAUUUAAUUGUACAAAGGUAGCAUAAUCAUUUGCCUUUUAAUUGAAGGCUGGAAUGAAGGGUAUAACGAGAAAAGUAUUUUCUUUAUUUAAAAAAUUAAAUUUUAUUUUUUUGUGAAAAAGCAAAAAUGUAGUUAAAAGACGAGAAGACCCUAUUGAGCUUUAUUAUUGUUGAUUUAUGAUAGGAUUAUAUUUAUAUGUCAGUUUUAAUUUUACUGGGGCGGUAGAAGGAAAAUGAAUAUCUCUUUUUUAAAAAUUUAUUUGAGAAUAUUAAGUUAUCCAAUUUGUUUGAAAGAUUAAAAAGUUACCUUAGGGAUAACAGCGUAAUUUUUUUAUAGAGUUCUUAUCGAUAAAGAAGUUUGCGACCUCGAUGUUGGAUUAGGAAUUCUAAUUGGCGUAUAAGUUGAUUUAGACAGUCUGUUCGACUAUUAAUUUCCUACAUGAUCUGAGUUCAGACCGG